rnacentral:rRNA from 1 species
GACGAACGCUGGCGGCGUGCCUAAUACAUGCAAGUCGAGCGAAUCUUUUGGGAGCUUGCUCCCAAAAGAUUAGCGGCGGACGGGUGAGUAACACGUGGGCAACCUGCCUACAAGAUUGGGAUAACUUCGGGAAACCGGAGCUAAUACCGGAUACGUUCUUUUUUCGCAUGAGAGAAGAUGGAAAGACGGCUUCUAGCUGUCACUUAUAGAUGGGCCCGCGGCGCAUUAGCUAGUUGGUGGGGUAAUGGCUCACCAAGGCGACGAUGCGUAGCCGACCUGAGAGGGUGAUCGGCCACACUGGGACUGAGACACGGCCCAGACUCCUACGGGAGGCAGCAGUAGGGAAUCUUCCGCAAUGGACGAAAGUCUGACGGAGCAACGCCGCGUGAACGAAGAAGGCCUUCGGGUCGUAAAGUUCUGUUGUUAGGGAAGAACAAGUACCAGAGUGACUGCUGGUACCUUGACGGUACCUAACCAGAAAGCCACGGCUAACCACGUGCCAGCAGCCGCGGUAACAC